GGAUGUGGGUGCACAGACAACCAGGAUGUUGGCUUAGCAGCAGCCACUCAUUCAAAGAGUGCGUAAUAGCUCACUGGUCGGGUGAUCCUGCGCCGAAGAUUUCCGGGGCUAGAACUUAGUACCGAAGCUACGGCAUCAUUAUGAUGGGUAGGGGAGCUUCCCAUACGGGUUGAAGCAUGACCGUAAGGACAUGUGGACAGUAUGGGAG
rnacentral:rRNA from 1 species